UCAGGCUUCCUUUUUCUGCCUGCUGCAGGGCUUCUCAGCCUGGGCUGGAUCCUGGACAGACAGGCCCAGGCAGGCUGUGCACUGUGACCUGGGGCCUUGCUGUGAACAAAGAGGACUUCAAGAGGAGAUGGCCUGGAGGAGUUCGCCUUUGUGGUCAUUUUGCUUCAGCGGACCAGUCAGCAAAUAAUGACUGCCCUUGGUCAUCCCUGGGAAGAUAAAGGAUUAUUAAAAGAGGGCCCGGCAGCUUGCAGAUUACACCUGCUACAUUUGGAGUGGAAAGAGGCUUCUCUGUCAGUGCCCCUUGCCCCCAUGGAAAGACACUAAUAGCAAUCUUCAACCAUAAUUGUUUGGUCCAUUUUGUUCUGGACCAAGUUUGCAUAAGUUUUAAGCCUGAAAGUCAAAGAAAAACGAAAUCUUACACGUCAACAUGGCCUUUCCAUCACUUGAAAAAGGCACCCUCUCUCUCUCUUUCUCUCUGCCUC
rnacentral:lncRNA from 1 species